rnacentral:rRNA from 1 species
GCUUAUUCGUCAGUACCUUCAGCUUUCCACACGUGGAAAGGUUUAUCCCUGUACAAAAGAAGUUUACAACCCAUAGGGCCGUCGUCCUUCACGCGGGAUGGCUGGAUCAGGCUCUCACCCAUUGUCCAAUAUUCCUCACUGCUGCCUCCCGUAGGAGUCUGGUCCGUGUCUCAGUACCAGUGUGGGGGAUCACCCUCUCAGGCCCCCUAAAGAUCACUGACUUGGUAGGCCGUUACCCUACCAACUAUCUAAUCUUGCGCGUGCCCAUCUCUAUCCACCGGAGUUUUCAAUUUUAAAUGAUGCCAUUCAAAAUAUUAUGGGGUAUUAAUCUUCCUUUCGAAAGGCUAUCCCCCAAAUAAAGGCAGGUUGCACACGUGUUCCGCACCCGUGCGCCGCUCUCUCGUUUCCGAAGAAACAAUAACGCUCGGCUUGCAUGUGUUAGGCCUCCCGCUAGCGUUCAUCCUGAGCCAUGAUCAAACU